GAUGAACGCUGGCGGCGUGCCUAAUACAUGCAAGUCGAGCGAACAGACGAGGAGCUUGCUCCUCUGACGUUAGCGGCGGACGGGUGAGUAACACGUGGAUAACCUACCUAUAAGACUGGGAUAACUUCGGGAAACCGGAGCUAAUACCGGAUAAUAUAUUGAACCGCAUGGUUCAAUAGUGAAAGACGGUUUUGCUGUCACUUAUAGAUGGAUCCGCGCCGCAUUAGCUAGUUGGUAAGGUAACGGCUUACCAAGGCAACGAUGCGUAGCCGACCUGAGAGGGUGAUCGGCCACACUGGAACUGAGACACGGUCCAGACUCCUACGGGAGGCAGCAGUAGGGAAUCUUCCGCAAUGGGCGAAAGCCUGACGGUGCAACGCCGCGGGAGUGAUGAAGGUCUUCUGAUCGUAAAACUCUGUUAUUAGGGAAGAACAAAUGUGUAAGUAACUAUGCGCGGCUUGACGGUACCUAAUCAGAAAGCCACGGCUAACUACGUG
rnacentral:rRNA from 1 species